CCCGCGUCCCACCUCAAUUGCCUCCCCCUCCCCCUUCUCCCACCUCAAGAACCCUAGCCUCCUCCUCCUCCUCCUCCUCCCACCUCAGCCGCCUCCCCCCCUCCCCGCCCCCCGCGCGCAUCCGUCCGCCCCGGAUGCGGAGGCGAGCUUCCCGACGACGGCGGCGGCGUUGGAUUCGAUCUGCAGCCGUCUGCUUCAUCCCGUUCUUCUCCAGCCGAACAGGGGCAAGUCCGUGGGGCGCCGCCGGAUGGGGAAGGAAAUGGAGCCCAGGGAGAUGGGUGGCAGCGGCUCACGCACUCCCUCCCCGAGCGAUGGUCCGGCGGAUGGACCUGGGCAUGCUGCGCCGCGGCGGUGUCCCCGGCUUUCCCAGGACGAGCAGUCCGUCGUGCCAUCGGCGCCGUCCUCGCGUGCUAAGGCACGCUAGCCACCUCCCUGCUCCGUGCCCCACACAUCUGACCCCGCCGCUAUGUUGGGAUGAUGUGCUACUGUGCAGAACAGUGCCUCGACAAACUACAUGAGGUUGGGUUGUGUGAUUGGACCCUGUUUGUGUGCCAGCAGGAAGGGACAAGCAAGAGAAAGUACUGCUAUUCCACUGGAUUUUACUUCCUUUGAUUUCACCAAACUUUGUAUUAUUAUUUUCUUCUGGUAUAGUUCUGCCAAUUUUUUUGCUUCAAUUAGCACAGGAAUAAUGAAGUGAUAUUCAUUCAGUUGUUAUCAGUUCACUAUUUUGAAAUGUGAUCUUGCUUGUUACAGCCUGGUGAACAGUUUGCUCUUUUGCUGUCAAAUACUUUGUUGUUGGCUUAUUUUUGAAUACAGAUUGGAUGCCUCGCUGCAUGUUACUCCCAAGAGAAGAUCUCACUCAAGAAGUGGCCAAACUGAGGUGCCAGGUGAUUGGCAUGCUUGAGGAAGAAUACAAGCAUUGGUGCUGCAUUGAGCAACUGAUGGUUCAAAAAAAAAUCAGCAGCUGGAGGUUCAGGAAGUGGAAAAG